GAUCAUGGCUCAGGAUGAACGCUGGCGGCGUGCCUAACACAUGCAAGUCGAACGAAGUUAUAUCGAGGAAGUUUUCGGAUGGAAUCGGUAUAACUUAGUGGCGGACGGGUGAGUAACGCGUGGGAAACCUGCCCUGUACCGGGGGAUAACACUUAGAAAUAGGUGCUAAUACCGCAUAAGCGCACGGAACUGCAUGGUUCUGUGUGAAAAACUCCGGUGGUACAGGAUGGUCCCGCGUCUGAUUAGCCAGUUGG
rnacentral:rRNA from 1 species